rnacentral:lncRNA from 1 species
UGGCUGUCUGCAGCCUUGACCGCCUGGGCUAAAAUGAUCCUCCCACCUCAGCCCACCAAGUACCUGAGACUACAGGGAUGUGCCACCAUUCCUGGCUAUUUUUUUAUUAUUAUUAUUAUUUUUUUUUUUUUUUUGAAGAGAUGAGGGUCUUGCUGUGCAUGCCUUCCCAACAAUCCCCCAAAGUCUUAAUUCAUUCCAGCAUUAACCCAAAAGUCCAACCAUUCUAAAUGGGAGAAAUUGGCCAAAACAAAGGGGACACAGGUCCCAUUCAAGUCUGAAAUCAGCUGGGUGGUCAUUAAGCCUUAAUGUUAACCACUGCACCUGGUCAGUAUUUAAAAAUAUAUAUGUAUAUAUUUUGCUGUAUUGUUAUUCCACUGGAUCUAUAUGAAAAACAGCGACCUCCCAAACAUCAAACUCAGUGGCUCGUUGAGUCAUUCCAUAGCAUUUCCCUUUGUGACUGCCCAUUCUGUAAACCUGCCUCUCUUUCUUCCAUGCAAGGAACUUCACGUUUCCCUCUGGCACAGACCUCUCUCCCAAGUUCCAAACGUCCACUGGAUUUUACCCUGGCAUUUAUUCUUGGUUUCUUAGGGAUCCAAAUACAAAGAGUUAACACAUUUUCCAAAAAUUCUUAUAUGAAUUUCUUCAAUCGGAAUUUAAUUAGGCACCCUUUUGUUGAGUACAUGGAAUUGUGUGGAACUAAAGGAACUAUGACAUUUUGACUGGGCAGGCUCCAGUUCUGGACAGGUCUUGAUUUAUUGCGACUGAGUCCCAACCAACUUUGAUUUAUUUCAGCUUAGGGGAGGAAGGCAAGCUUGGAACAGAAAAGCGCUGUUGAAUGUUGAGCACGUGAUGUCAGGACAGGCCCUCCAGACUUCCAGGGGCACGGGACAAGCGGUUCAGAAGAGAAUGGCUUCUGAGAAAGCCAUUUUAAAACCCUAAGAUUUAAAUAGUGGUGCCCACUUAAUACCUCACUGCAGGCUUCACUGGGCCUAGCAUGAUGCCUCGCACAUAGCCAGGAGCCCCCAGCACAGCAGCUUUGACUGCUGACAAAGCCCUGUUCCCUCCUUGGGGGUGGCAGAAGGAGUGCAUGAGAUGGACCUGUCCCCAGUGUCACAUGGUUGACAAAGGGCAACGUCAACAAUUCUCAGAGGCAACGUUAAGUUCCUUAAAAGGGAGAUAAUGGUAGGAAAAAUGUGUUGCAAAACAAAGAAGAGGGGAAGCAGAAGAAAGGGGAUAAGGGCAGAAAAGAUGGAUAGAGGUAGCAUGGCCCAAGCAAGUAAGAACAGCACAAGCUCUGGCAUCCAUGACAUGAGAUCCAAACUCCAUCCCAGCGACUUACCUGCAUGUGCUCUGUGCAAGCUACUUAACCAAGCGAUGCCUCCUUUGGGCAGCGAGCACUUAUUCUCAGGGCAGCUGUGAGGUCCAGGGGAAAGCCUUGCAAAGCUCUUCCACACUGGGCCUCACCCCUGGUGCCGAGGGCACUGGCCGGUGUCAUUAGAGGUGGGGCCUCAAAGGUGCCUGUGCAUCUGCAUGUGGGGCCAGCACAUAGCUGUGGGUGCUGGCGUGUAGGUGGGACCUCAAAGGUGCCUGUGCAUCUGCAUGUGGGGCCAGCACAUAGCUGUGGGUGCUGGCGUGUAGGUGGGACCUCAAAGGUGCCUGUGCAUCUGCAUGUGGGGCCAGCACAUAGCUAUGGGUGCUGGCGUGUAGGUGGGGCCUAAAAGGUGCCUGUGCAUCUGCAUGUGGGGCCAGCACAUAGCUGUGGGUGCUGGCGUGUAGGUUGGACCUCAAAGGUGCCUGUGCAUCUGCAUGUGGGGCCAGCACAUAGCUGUGGGUGUUGGUGUGUAGGUGGGACCUCAAAGGUACCUGUGCAUCUGCAUGUGGGGCCAGCACAUAGCUGUGGGUGCUGGCGUGUAGGUGGGGCCUCAAAGGUACCUGUGCAUCUGCAUGUGGGGCCAGCACAUAGCUAUGGGUGCUGGCGUGUAGGUGGGACCUCAAAGGUACCUGUGCAUCUGCAUGUGGGGCCAGCACAUAGCUGUGGGUGCUGGCUUGUAGGUGGGACCUCAAAGGUACCUGUGCAUCUGCAUGUGGGGCC